UAGUAAUAAUAAGAGAAUUCAUCAGUGUGUCUGUAGGCUAUAAGAUCAAUAUACAAAACCAAUUGCAUUUCCAUAUGACAGCAUAAUUCAGAAAAUAUAAUUAAGGAAUUAUUUCCCUUUACAAUAGUAUCUAAAUAUAUAAGGUGUCUGAUAAUAAAAUAGCAAAAGAUGUGCAAGACUCCUAGAGAAAAUUGUAAACGAUGUUCAAAAUAAAAGAUAUAAAAUGUCUAUUGACAGUCACUAUAAAAUGUGACCAUUCUUUUUGUAUUGAUCUAUGCAUCAAUGCAAUGACAAUCAAAAUUCCAAUACAAUUUUAGUGGAAUUGACAAGCUGAUUUCAAUAUUGUAUGGAAAAGCAAAUGACAAAAAUAGCAAGACUUUCCUGAAGAACAAGUGGAGAAAAUUAUACCUUUUAGAUAUCCAAACAUAGUAUACAAUUAAACCAGCUAGGACAGUGUAAUGUUGGAUUAAAUACUAAAUUCUUUAAUAAGUAGAGUGGAAAAUCAGUCAUAUUAAAUACAUACAUUUACAGUAAAUUGUAUGUAAUGAUGAAUAUAAUAUGCAUUAUAAAUAAUGCAUUAUGAAUGAUUACAUGUUUCAUAUAUUAUCUACUUUCUUUAUCACAUGUUAUACCAAUGUCAAUUCUAAAUGGAAAAAUACUUAAACAUCUACAUAGUGAGAGAGAGAGAGAGACUGGGACAAAGAGGUUGAAAAUAAUAAAAAUAUUCUUUGGGAAUCUUCUGACAACUUUCAGUAAGUUUAAAUUAUUCAGAAGAAAAUAUAGAACAAUAUCUCCAUGAGAUAAGAUAUAGGAAAUUGUAGUAACUGAUUAUCUUGGGAAUUGUCAGGCUUCCUAAUUGCAUGAUUGCAUGAGUCAAUUCCUUCAUGACACUUUCAAUUUAUUAAUGUGAUUUCACCUUUAAAGAUACACGGAAAAGUUAAAUGAUGUUUUUCAGUAACGGCAUCAAAAGGACUUUGUGGAGUCUCAGUGCAGAAUUCUGCUAAACAGCUAGCCAUCACUUUAUAGAGAACCUGAAUUAAUAAGUAAUUAUAAUUAUACAUGUUGACAGAGACCAGGAUGCAAAAAAAAAAAAAAACAAAUGCUGGAUAGUAAAUAUCUGAAAUAUCUGUUUUAAUUACUUGAACCAAAUACACUGACUAUAAACCAAAGCUUAUUUUUUUGCACUAAUUAUGCAGGUAAAGAGGGCAUUCUAUAGUGUGCUAUA
rnacentral:lncRNA from 10 species